CCCCUCUUUGGGUCACACCUGGAGAGUUUCCAGUACUCUACCAGUCUCAGCUACCAGAGGGAGAGUCAAGCAGAGACUUAACCAUUCCACUCCUAGCUCCAGCAGUGGCUAGCAAGUGGAAGGCAAUCUGCUACAAGC